UACAGAGGUCUCAAGCGUUGUUCGGAUUCAUUGGGCGUAAAGGGUGCGUAGGUGGCGCGCUAAGUCAGGUGUGAAAUUUCGGAGCUUAACUCCGAAACUGCAUUUGAUACUGGCGUGCUUGAGGACUGGAGAGGAGACUGGAAUUCACGGUGUAGCAGUGAAAUGCGUAGAUAUCGUGAGGAAGACCAGUGGCGAAGGCGGGUCGUCUGGACAGUUCCUGACACUGAGGCACGAAGGCCAGGG
rnacentral:rRNA from 1 species